CACUGCCCGAUGUGCUGCGAAUUUGGGAUUCGGUAUUCUUGGACGAGCAGCGCUUUAAUUUUCUCAUCAAAAUCUGCUGUUCCAUGAUAUUAAUCCAAAGGGAAGCAAUUUUGGAGAACGACUUUGCCUCGAAUGUGAAGCUGCUG
rnacentral:sRNA from 1 species